rnacentral:lncRNA from 1 species
GGAGUUGGGGCCUGGCCUCAAGGCCUCUCUGGGGUGAGCAGGGGUAUUGGUCUGCCUGGAAUCUGCCGUGCGGGCGAGCCACACAUUUAAUUUGCACUACUGUCCUUUGUUUUGGUGUCAUGCGUGAGACCUUACGUUUUUCUUAGUCACAUUUACAAGCUGUAUUUUUAUGCAUUUUUGUUUUCUGUUUCUUCCCCUGCUCACUGUCCUUUGGCAUGGUUCUGUUGUUCAUCUCACCCGCGGGACCUCUCCAUCUUGACCCUGUGGCCUGGGACCUUUCCUCCUCACCCCUCCAAUGGCUUGUUCUCCCAUUCCUGGGAGCUGGGCUCUCUGGGGCUUGGGGCUUCCUUCCUCGCCUGGUAGUUUGAGGAUAGCCAGAGCCCCCAAACAAGGCCUGAAUAACUCUCCACCUGUGAAAGAAUUCAAAGAGAGCUGUGCAGCCGAGGCCUUCCGGUGCCGCAGCAUCAGUGUAUCUGAACAUGUGGUCCGCAGGUAGUGGGGCUGUGUCGGGUGGGGGGCACGGACCUGGAGCUUGGCCCCGUGAGCACCC